rnacentral:rRNA from 1 species
GACGAACCGUACAAACGUUAUUCGGAAUUAUUGGGCGUAAAGAGCUCGUAGGCGGUCUGUCGCGUCUGCUGUGAAAACUCGGGGCUUAACCCCGGGCCUGCAGUGGGUACGGGCAGACUAGAGUGCGGUAGGGGAGACUGGAAUUCCUGGUGUAGCGGUGAAAUGCGCAGAUAUCAGGAGGAACACCGGUGGCGAAGGCGGGUCUCUGGGCCGUAACUGACGCUGAGGAGCGAAAGCGUGGGGAGCGAACAGG